CGUGCACCAGUGGGGUCCCUUGGCCAGGCCUGCGCCCUCUCGCAAUCCGGGACCCCUUGGGGGAUAUUGGAGAGCUGGUUUCUGCCCAAUCCCGCAGGCCAGGCCAAGGGACCCCACUGGUGCAUG
rnacentral:pre_miRNA from 1 species